rnacentral:rRNA from 1 species
UAUGACCAGGGCUACCCACUUGCUACAAUGGCAUAUUCAAAGAGAANCGACCUAGCGAGAUCAAGCGGACAUCCUAAAGUAUCUCGUAGUCCGGAUUGGAGUGCGCAACUCGCCUCCANCAACUGGGAAUUGUUAGUUAUCGUAGAUCAGAAUGCUACGNCGAAUACGUUCCCGGACCUUGUACACUCCUCCUGUCACACCACGGGACUGGGUAUCAAAAGAAGUAGGUAGCUUAACCUUCGGGAGGGCGAUNACCACUNUGUGAUUCAUGACUGGGGUGAAGUCGUAACAAGGUAACCCUAGGGGAAC